rnacentral:rRNA from 1 species
AAAUUUCGGGCCCUAGGGUUUUUUUCUCUGAUCAUGACGAACGCCGCUGUCCUCCUAGUACGUGCUAGUAGAGCGGACAGAUGGCAGCUAGAUGGCGUGAAAGUCAGCUGACGACUGGGUGAGUUAACAUUUGGGUAACCUGCCUGCUAAGACUUGGAUUACUUCGGGGAUACCCGGGGCUUAUUACCGGAUGGCUUGAAUUGAACGGCAUGGGUGCAAUUGAUAAAAGGUGGGUUUCAGCUAUCACUUACAGAUGGACUCGCGGCGCAUUAGCUAGUUGGUGUGGUAACGGCUCACCAAGGCAUCGACGCGUAGCCGACCUGAGAGGGUGAUCGGCCACACUGGGACUGAGACACGGCCCAGACUCCUACGGGAGGCAGCAGUAGGGAAUCUUCCGCAAUGGACGAAAGUCUGACGGAGCAACGCCGCGUGAGUGAUGAAGGUUUUCGGAUCGUAAAACUCUGUUGUUAGGGAAGAACAAGUACCGUUCGAAUAGGGCGGUACCUUGACGGUACCUAACCAGAAAGCCACGGCUAACUACGUGCCAGCAGCCGCGGUAAUACGUAGGUGGCAAGCGUCGUCCGGAAUUAUUGGGCGUAAAGCGCGCGCAGGCGGUUUCUUAAGUCUGAUGUGAAAGCCCCCGGCUCAACCGGGGAGGGUCAUUGGAAACUGGGGAACUUGAGUGCAGAAGAGGAGAGUGGAAUUCCACGUGUAGCGGUGAAAUGCGUAGAGAUGUGGAGGAACACCAGUGGCGAAGGCGACUCUCUGGUCUGUAACUGACGCUGAGGCGCGAAAGCGUGGGGAGCGAACAGGAUUAGAUACCCUGGUAGUCCACGCCGUAAACGAUGAGUGCUAAGUGUUAGAGGGUUUCCGCCCUUUAGUGCUGCAGCAAACGCAUAAGCACUCCGCCUGGAGACUAUG